rnacentral:rRNA from 1 species
GACGAACGCUGGCGGCGUGCUUAACACAUGCAAGUCGAACGGUAAGGCUCCAGCUUGCUGGGGUACACGAGUGGCGAACGGGUGAGUAACACGUGGGUGACCUGCCCUGCACUUCGGGAUAAGCCUGGGAAACUGGGUCUAAUACCGGAUAGGACCGCACCGUGAGGGUGUGGUGGAAAGUUUUUUCGGUGUGGGAUGGGCCCGCGGCCUAUCAGCUUGUUGGUGGGGUAAUGGCCUACCAAGGCGGCGACGGGUAGCCGGCCUGAGAGGGUGGACGGCCACAUUGGGACUGAGACGCGGCCCAGACUCCUACGGGAGGCAGCAGUGGGGAAUAUUGCACAAUGGGCGGAAGCCUGAUGCAGCGACGCCGCGUGGGGGAUGACGGCCUUCGGGUUGUAAACUCCUUUCACCAUCGACGAAGGGUUUCUGACGGUAGAUGGAGAAGAAGCACCGGCUAACUACGUG